UACGGGGGAUGCGAGCGUUGUCCGGAAUCAUUGGGCGUAAAGAGUUCGUAGGUGGUUUGUUAAGUCUGGUGUUAAAUACCGAGGCUCAACCUCGGAAUGGCACCGGAUACUGGCAGACUUGAAUGCUGUAGAGGUACAGGGAGUUCCUGGUGUAGCGGUGAAAUGCGUAGAUAUCAGGAGGAACAUCGGUGGCGAAAGCGCUUUACUGGGCAGUAAUUGACACUGAGGAACGAAAGCCGGGGUAGCAAAC
rnacentral:rRNA from 1 species